rnacentral:rRNA from 1 species
CUGCCGGUGACAAACCGGAGGAAGGUGGGGAUGACGUCAAGUCCUCAUGGCCCUUAUGGUAGGGCUUCACACGUCAUACAAUGGUCGGUACAGAGGGUUGCCAAGCCGCGAGGUGGAGCCAAUCCCUUAAAGCCGAUCGUAGUCCGGAUCGUAGUCUGCAACUCGACUACGUGAAGUCGGAAUCGCUAGUAAUCGCAGAUCAGCAUGCUGCGGUGAAUACGUUCCCGGGUCUU